UACGAAGGGGGCUAGCGUUGUUCGGAAUUACUGGGCGUAAAGCGCGCGCAGGCGGCUAUCCAAGUCAGUGGUGAAAGCCCGGAGCUCAACUCCGGAACUGCCAUUGAAACUGUUCAGCUUGAGGAUGAGAGAGGUGAGUGGAAUUCCCAGUGUAGAGGUGAAAUUCGUAGAUAUUGGGAAGAACACCGGUGGCGAAGGCGGCUCACUGGCUCAUUACUGACGCUCAGGCGCGAUAGCGUGGGGAUCAAACAGG
rnacentral:rRNA from 1 species